CCGUGAAUGACUACAAUCCUCUGAUGAAAGAUUUCCCUCUGAAUGAUUUGCUGUCUGCCACUGAGCUGGACAAAAUAAGGCAGGCACUUGUUGCAAUUUUUACCCAUUUGAGAAAGAUCCGAAACACAAAAUACCCCAUUCAGAGGGCACUGCGUUUGGUGGAGGCAAUUUCAAGAGACUUGAGUUCUCAAUUGCUCAAAGUAUUGGGCACUAGAAAAUUGAUGCAUGUUGCUUAUGAAGAAUUUGAAAAAGUUAUGGUAGCAUGCUUUGAAGUUUUUCAGACUUGGGAUGAUGAGUACGAGAAACUUCAGGUGUUGCUGAGAGACAUUGUCAAAA